UCUUCGAAAGGGUAGAUUCUACCCUUUUCAGAGGGUAGUUUUAACUCCUCAAAGGGUAGGAGCGUUACCCUUCGAAAGGGUCGUUUCAGCUAUUCGAAAGGGUCGUUUCAGCUAUUCAAAAGGGUCGUUUCAGCUAUUCAAAAGGGUCGUUUCAGCUAUUCAAAAGGGUGGUUUCGGCUAUUCAAAAGGGUGGUUUCAGCUAUUCAAAAGGGUCGUUUCAGCUAUUCAAAAGGGUCGUUUCAGUAUUCAAAAGGGUCGUUUCAGCUAUUCAAAAGGGUUGUUUCAGCUGUUCAAAAGGGCGGUUUCAGCUAUUCAAAAGGGUCGUUUCAGCUAUUCAAAAGGGUCGUUUCAGCUAUCCAAAACUCUCUGUAAAAAUUUUGUCAUAAGCUGUUACACAUCAUCACAAUAUUUAGGUACGAUAUGAUAUGUAAAUGAUUUCUAACAUUCACAUUAACAUUCACGUUUCGUGUAACAUAGCCUUCAGUGCAGAAAAUAAGAUGGGACGUAAUUAAACAGACAAAUUUAUCUCUCCUUUUAAAAAAUGGAUUUAAUACGUCACUAAAUGCUAAUUAUAUACAAACAUAAACGUAAAGAGAGUGCAUUAAAGUCUGAAUCCUUCACUGACCCAACAGAGUAAAAACUUGACUAACACUAAGAGGGAUUUGGUUAUUAGAGUUCAUUGCAAAGGUUGAUUUCUCUCUUUCUCUAAAAAUAUCAUUGCACUUCUCUGGACUUUAUAUAAAUCCAAAUUGUACGUGUAUUGGACGAAAAGUAGCAGAUUAAGACAGUCUAAAAGUUUGAAUUCACGUAAAGCGUCACACAGCACUUUUCCUUUCCCAACAACAUACAUAUAACCGAAGUAUCAAACACAGAGGUACCGGUACCACACAAAUGGAUUGCAGGUGAGACUGUCGCUUCACAUCACCAGUUCCCUACAAAAUAUAUUGCAUUUAUUAAUCAGUGCAUAGUAUUCACAAUUAUAAAUAUUAAUUACGACACCAUUCUUACUAGAACAGUUAAUUACACUAUAACUCAACCUUUGCUUUGAAACCAUAAAUACUGACAAUUAUUUACCACAAUGGCAGGGAAGUUUAAAAUUAAUUCUCUUUUUACGUUGAAUCAAACUUGAAUACACAAAUGACACUUGCUCUAGGCCUGGGGUCAGACGUGGUAAAUUAAAUUUAAUCAAACUACUAUACACUAUAUAUAACUAAUAACUAAACCACACCCCUGCAUAUAGUUACUCAAAAAUGGACAAUUUUGCACAUUAAAGCACUACUGUAUACAGGCAAUUGUAUGAAUAACAAAGCUGAAUGCUACAAACUAGGAACAUGUUAUAGUUCAAGAAAUCAUUUACAGGUGGCUUCAAACAGUUAUAAUUUAAUGUUUCGACAGCCACUUGUGUGUUGAAAUUAGAAUUAUUAAAGAGUUAAGACCAUCACAUCUUGGUACAAUUAAUGCUAAUAGUAUGGUACAGUAUGAUUCAAUUGGUUCACAAUGGCAUUGCAUGACAGCAUUACAGAGUAAAAAAUAUAAAUAAUGCUUAACCCAUUAAGCACCAGAGCUCUCCCCUUGACAAGUAAAUCAUAUGGCGUUAGAGAGAGUAAAAUAAUAAAGCAGGGCGCAAUGGGUC
rnacentral:lncRNA from 1 species